rnacentral:lncRNA from 1 species
UAACUAGUAGUUAUAACAAUAACGGUACCAAUUGUAUUGCACAAUAUAAGCAUUAUGACAGUCAGUGUAUCUUUAGUGGCGCUCAAGGUACAAAUAUUUAAAUGUCCAAACCCUAAUAUUUAGUAAUUAAAAAACAGGAACUUUUAUCCUUUCAAAGUAAUCGUGUUGACUACCGCUUCCUGGUUCGAGUGUUUUUCUUUAUUUUUUUUUUUUUUUUAUUGUUGCUGGUAAUUUUAUUUGUAUUUUCCUAUGUUUGUGAUUUGUCCUUCCUCAACUUAUUUUAAUCCCAUUGUAUCUUCAUGAUAUUAUUUAUUAUUUCAAUGUGAUGAUUUUUCUUUCUUGGUCAGUACUGUGUACUAUGAAUGGCCUUUCAUACUGAACACAUGUACUGCGAUUUUUUUGUGUAUAUAAUUAUAAAAAUGUAUUUGGAUAAAAACCUUAAUGAGGCUAAAUGCAAUGCUAAAA